AUGUCUCCCCGCCCGCCUUCGGUUGGUCGCGCGGCCAUGGCGUCCAGCCCUCGUUCGGUCACCUUCGCCUACCGCCGCUCCGACGAGCGCCCCGUGGUUUCGGGCCUGGGCCUUUCCUCGAGCUCGGAGGGCUCGGAGACGAUGGGUCCGGCGCUCGACCCCGCACCAGCCGUGGUUGGGGACGCUGCUCCGGGGGCGCCGGCCUGGGUGCAGCCGCCGCCGACGAGGAAGGAGCUGUGGAGGCGUCGUCUUGGCCUCAGGGGGUCCGCUGCCCAUGGAGAGACCUCGGUGCGGCCUAGGAGGGAGGUCCCACCGGAGAUGGCGGGGCUAUGCUUCAGGUGCUUCGAGGAAGGCCACUUCCGGCGGGAUUGCACAAACGACAUCGUCUGCCUCCGUUGUGGCGGGUCAGGUCAUAGCUCCGAAGACUGCAAGAGGCCCCGCAGUCCGUCCCCGGAGGAGGAGCUCCGACGCCAGGUUGCGGCCAGGGUGGCUCGCAACGACCAAGCGCCCUCGCGCCGUGCUCCCUUCGCGGGCGGGGGAUCUUCGUCCUUGCUGCCCCCGCCCCCGCCGCCGCCGAUGCAGGCGGCCCCUGCCGCCUGGCCUCGCCUUCACUUACCCCGUCUGGUGGAUGCCCGACAUGAGGAGUUCAACCUGCAGGAGCUCUGCAUCACACGCUGUUGUCCUUCCAUGGCGGACUUGGAGAGGAGGCUGCAAUUCGCCAUGGUGGCAUACGCAGCUGGUGCCCGACACGAUAUCACCCUGGAGUGUGGCGAUUGGGGUGGUCAUCGGGAUCGAGCAGGAGUGGAUUUCCGUUCACAGGAGAUUCGCAACAUGGUGGCGGAGCGGCCAUUCGUGGAGCACCGGGGGAUCAGACUGUACUUCAGGCAAUGGAAUCGUCAAGCUCAGGCCGUUCACUCUGCGUUCUGCUUCAAGGUCUCCCUCAUUCUCGAGGGCAUCCCGUCGCACACCUGGGAGAGGGGGGUGGUGGAAGACCUGUUGGGCUCGUCCUGCAUCGUCGACAUGGUGGCCCUGGAGACCAGUUCGCACCGUGAUCUAUCGGCGUUCAAGCUUAUGGCUUAG
rnacentral:rRNA from 1 species